rnacentral:rRNA from 1 species
GUGAGGAAUAUUGGUCAAUGGACGGAAGUCUGAACCAGCCAUGUCGCGUGCAGGAAUAAGGUCCUAUGGAUUGUAAACUGCUUUUAUUCGGGAAUAAACCUCUUUACGUGUAGGGAGCUGAAGGUACCGAAGGAAUAAGCACCGGCUAACUCCGUGCCAGCAGCCGCGGUAAUACGGAGGGUGCAAGCGUUAUCCGGAAUCAUUGGGUUUAAAGGGUCCGCAGGCGGGCUAUCAAGUCAGGAGUGAAAUCCCACAGCUUAACUGUGGAACUGCCUUUGAAACUGAUGGUCUUGAAUUAAGUGGGCGUUGGCGGAAUAUGACAUGUAGCGGUGAAAUGCAUAGAUAUCAGCCAGAACACCGAUUGCGAAGGCAGGUGGCUGUACCUUAAUCGACGCUGAUGCACGAAAGCAUGGGGAGCAAACAGGAUUAGAAACCCUUGUAGUCC